CAGAACGUAGCUAAGACAGAAAAGCAUCUCCCUUACACUGAGAAGUCACCCGCGCAAACCAGGUCGUUCUGA
rnacentral:tRNA from 1 species